AACCUAGCACACCUGCGGUGUGUACCUGCGGAAGGAUCAUUACCUAGAGUUGCGGGCUUUGCCUGCCAUCUCUUACCCAUGUCUUUUGAGUACCUUCGUUUCCUCGGCGGGUUCGCCCGCCGGUUGGACAACACUUAAACCCUUUGUAAUUGAAAUCAGCGUCUGAAAAAACUUUAAUAGUUACAACUUUCAGCAAUGGAUCU
rnacentral:misc_RNA from 1 species